UCGGUUCUGAUGGAGUCAUCCGGUUCUGAUCCAGUAGCGGGUCAGAGGUCGGAUCACUGGGACUCCAGGAAGAAGGCCAGUCUGCAGAGAUUAUCUGGAAGGACACAGAGACCCGGUCCAGUUUCAUAUGGCAGGCUGUUUUAGCAUAUAAUGGGUUUCGUCUGCCUUCCUGUAAUUACACUCCGGGUGUCCAGUUUGGACUCUACACGGCUACAUCACCACCAACCUGAACGAUAAUUAAACAUAUCAGCAUUUUAGGGCUGAAACUAA